rnacentral:rRNA from 1 species
ACGAUUGGCGGAGCGAAGCGACGUCAAAGCGUUUUACAACGUCGAGUUGGCUUAGGGAUACGUUCGUUGGGUAGGGGAGCGUUCUGUAAGCCUGUGAAGGUGGCCUGUGAGGGUUGCUGGAGGUAUCAGAAGUGCGAAUGCUGACAUAAGUAACGAUAAAGCGGGUGAAAAGCCCGCUCGCCGGAAGACCAAGGGUUCCUGUCCAACGUUAAUCGGGGCAGGGUGAGUCGACCCCUAAGGCGAGGCCGAAAGGCGUAGUCGAUGGGAAACGGGUUAAUAUUCCCGUACUUGGUGUUACUGCGAAGGGGGGACGGAGAAGGCUAUGUUGGCCGGGCGACGGUUGUCCCGGUUUAAGCGUGUAGGUGUGUGUUCCAGGUAAAUCCGGUUCACUUUAACACUGAGGCGUGAUGACGAGGCACUACGGUGCUGAAGCAACAAAUGCCCUGCUUCCAGGAAAAGCCUCUAAGCAUCAGGUAACAUCAAAUCGUACCCCAAACCGACACAGGUGGUCAGGUAGAGAAUACCAAGGCGCUUGAGAGAACUCGGGUGAAGGAACUAGGCAAAAUGGUGCCGUAACUUCGGGAGAAGGCACGCUGACACGUAGGUGAAGUGAUUUACUCAUGGAGCUGAAGUCAGUCGAAGAUACCAGCUGGCUGCAACUGUUUAUUAAAAACACAGCACUGUGCAAACACGAAAGUGGACGUAUACGGUGUGACGCCUGCCCGGUGCCGGAAGGUUAAUUGAUGGGGUCAGCGCAAGCGAAGCUCCUGAUCGAAGCCCCGGUAAACGGCGGCCGUAACUAUAACGGUCCUAAGGUAGCGAAAUUCCUUGUCGGGUAAGUUCCGACCUGCACGAAUGGCGUAAUGAUGGCCAGGCUGUCUCCACCCGAGACUCAGUGAAAUUGAACUCGCUGUGAAGAUGCAGUGUACCCGCGGCAAGACGGAAAGACCCCGUGAACCUUUACUAUAGCUUGACACUGAACAUUGAGCCUUGAUGUGUAGGAUAGGUGGGAGGCUUUGAAGUGUGG